GGGGUCGACUGGUUUUGACAGCAAGUCGAAUUGAAUUGUAAGCACGUCGAGCAUUGUACCUUUUGCUCGUAAAUCCAAAGGCACAAACUUAUAAACGGCGAAAAUAACUACGCUUUAGCUGCAUAAUCCGAAUUAUAGUAAGAUUAAGCCACGUCCCUACUAGGUAGGGAAGCUGGAUUCUCCUCAACAGCCCUGGUUUAUGGCGUUUGAUCCUGGAGAACCGUAAAAGUAAACCUAGGAAAGGUAAUGUUCUGAAUCCUUUCUGACACUGAUAGAGCUAAGCAUCGGGUCGCUGUCUUUGGCAAAACCCAGUGUCGAAAACCUAAUCAGAGACUAAACGUGUAGAAAGCUCUUUAGUUGCUUGUUUGGACGGGAGUUCGACUCUCCCCGACUCCACAU
rnacentral:tmRNA from 1 species